GAAACGGUGUUUUUAAAAGAAGAAAGAAAGUACAAUCCUAAGAAAGAAAAACCCAGAGACUUCCUUGUUUCAAAAUGGCCAGAGACAAUGCUGAAACAGCGAGAUGCAAAAAAAUCCUGAGCCUUCAAAGCCAGAUCGUGCAGAAGAGAAAGGGCCUGUCAGCUGAGCUGGAUGCUUCAGGAGCAGAGGAUCUAUCAACUGCAGACCAGGCAUAGGGAGACGCAGGCAGACCUGGAACAGAAACCCAGCCCGCUCCAGCCGCUCUGACAGAACUUGGUAGCCGGAUGGUCGGCAGCAGGACACAUGCCACGGGCCACAGGGCAGGAAAUGACCCAAUCCUCGAGGUCUGGAGAUCUUUCAGAUAUGCCAGUGACUGUAAGAAGAACAGGUCUGGUUUAAAGUAUGGGCAUAUAAGAGGCAGGAAGGGACUCCAGGAAAAGCUUCUGUUUAUAGCAUAAUCGGUAAGAAUCAUUUCUUUUAUCUAUGGCUAUAAACAUUUGCAUAACUAAACUUACCACAAAAAUUAUAUUAUCUAAAGCUAAUAUAUGUUGACAUGCUAUCAUUUUUCUAUGCUUCUAUAUUAGAUUUAACCAGUGCUUUAUUUCAAAUAAAAUCUUAAUUUAUUACAGAACUUAGCAUGAUAAUCAUUGAUAAGAAUAACAAGUCUUUUAUAACAAAAGCCAAAAUUCACAUGUUCAUAGCAGUUCAUCUUUGCAGCCUGAAUAACUUUUCAUCCCACAAACAGGCACCAGCUAUGUGAUAGUCUUUUGAGCCCUUGGGUUGGCUUUUCCAAAUGAAGUUAAGGAAUUGGAUUAUCAGAAGUCUUCAGCUUCUCACACCAUAAUUAAGGCUUCAGUCCAUCAGUUCUCUCUCUCUCUUCAAACAGAAAGACCAAAUUUGGAAGUCAGUCUAAUGACUAGCAUAUCCAAGUGAAUAUCUGCACAUUGUAUCAUUUACCUAUGGCA